GGAAGUGAGGGGCCGGGAGCGAGGGUAAUACGAAGGGUGGAAGCGGGAAUCGGAAUGACUGGGCGUAAAGCGUGAGCAGGCGGUGAUGUAAGACAGGUGUGAAAUCCCCGGGCUUAACCUGGGAACUGCAUGUGUGACUGCAUCGCUGGAGUGCGGCAGAGGGGGAUGGAAUUCCGCGUGUAGCAGUGAAAUGCGUAGAUAUGCGGAGGAACACCGAUGGCGAAGGCAAUCCCCUGGGCCUGCACUGACGCUCAUGCACGAAAGCGUGGGGAGCAAACAGGAUUAGAUACCCGAGUAGUC
rnacentral:rRNA from 1 species